rnacentral:rRNA from 1 species
UACGUAGGGCGCAAGCGUUGUCCGGAAUUAUUGGGCGUAAAGAGCUCGUAGGCGGCUUGUCGCGUCGGCUGUGAAAACCUAGGGCUCAACCCUGGGCCUGCAGCCGAUACGGGCAAGCUAGAAUUCGGUAGGGGAGACUGGAAUUCCUGGUGUAGCGGUGAAAUGCGCAGAUAUCAGGAGGAACACCGGUGGCGAAGGCGGGUCUCUGGGCCGAUAUUGACGCUGAGGAGCGAAAGCGUGGGGAGCGAACAGG